GCCUCUGCAAUAGGCGAAAGCUUGACAGGGUUACUCUGAGUGAUUUCCGUUAAGGAGAUCUUUUGGCACCUCUAAAAAUGGUGCAGAAUAAGGGGUGGGCAAGUCUGGUGUCAGCCGCCGCGGUAAUACCAGCACCCCGAGUGGUCGGGACGUUUAUUGGGCCUAAAGCAUCCGUAGCCGGUUCUACAAGUCUUCCGUUAAAUCCACCUGCUUAACAGAUGGGCUGCGGAAGAUACUAUAGAGCUAGGAGGCGGGAGAGGCAAGCGGUACUCGAUGGGUAGGGGUAAAAUCCGUUGAUCCAUUGAAGACCACCAGUGGCGAAGGCGGCUUGCCAGAACGCGCUCGACGGUGAGGGAUGAAAGCUGGGGGAGCAAACCGGAUUAGAUACCCGGGUAGUCCCAGCUGUAAACGAUGCAGACUCGGUGAUGAGUUGGCUUAUUGCUAACUCAGUGCCGCAGGGAAGCCGUUAAGUUUGCCGCCUGGGGAGUACGGUCGCAAGACUGAAACUUAA
rnacentral:rRNA from 1 species